rnacentral:rRNA from 1 species
UACGAAGGGGGCUAGCGUUGUUCGGAAUUACUGGGCGUAAAGCGCACGUAGGCGGAUCGAUCAGUCAGGGGUGAAAUCCUGGAGCUCAACUCCAGAACUGCCUUUGAUACUGAAGAUCCUGAGUUCGGAGAGGUGAGUGGAACUGCGAGUGUAGAGGUGAAAUUCGUAGAUAUUCGUAAAGAACACCAGUGGCGAAGGCGGACUCACU